rnacentral:rRNA from 1 species
CCAGCAGCUGCGGUAAUUCCAGCUCCAAUAGCGUAUAUUUAAGUUGUUGCAGUUAAAAAGCUCGUAGUUGGAUUUCGGGCGGGGCCUGCCGGUCCGCCUCUGGUGUGCACUGGCAUGGGCUCGCCUCGCUGUCGGGGACGGGCUCCUGGGCUUAACUGUCCGGGACUCGGAGUCGACGAGGUUACUUUGAGUAAAUUAGAGUGUUCAAAGCAGGCCUACGCUCUGAAUACGUUAGCAUGGAAUAACACGAUAGGACUCUGGCCUAUCUUGUUGGUCUGUGGGACCGGAGUAAUGAUUAAGAGGGACGGUCGGGGGCAUUCGUAUUUCAUUGUCAGAGGUGAAAUUCUUGG